AUUCUGGUUGAUCCUGCCAGUAGUUAUAUGCUUGUCUCAAAGAUUAAGCCAUGCAUGUCUAAGUACACACGAAUUAAAAGUGAAACCGCAAAAGGCUCAUUAUAUCAGUUAUGGUUGCUUAGAUCGUUAACAGUUACUUGGAUAACUGUGGUAAUUCUAGAGCUAAUACAUGCAAUUAAAACACGGACCUUCUGGGACGUGUGCUUUUAUUAGACUAAAACCAAGCGAUCAAUUGAUCGUUAUAUUGGUUGAACUCUAGAUAACAUGCAGAUCGUAUGGUCUUGUACCGACGACAGAUCUUUUUAAUGUCUGCCCUAUCAACUUUUGAUGGUAGUAUCUAGGACUACCAUGGUUGCAACGGGUAGCGGGGAAUCAGGGUUCGAUUCCGGAGAGGGAGCCUGAGAAACUGCUACCACAUCUAAGGAAGGCAGCAGGCGCGUAAAUUACCCACUCCCAGCUCGGGGAGGUAGUGACGAAAAAUAACAAUACAGGACUCAUAUCCGAGGCCCUGUAAUUGGAAUGAAAUCCUUUAACACUUUAAAUCCUUUAACAAGGUCCAAUUGGAGGGAAAGUCUGGUGCCAGCAGCCGCGGUAAUUCCAGCUCCAAAAGCGUAUAUUAAAGUUGUUGCGGUUAAAACGUUCGUAGUUGAACUUGUGCUAUAUACGGGUAUUGUUGAGUGGUACCUUCAAACAUAAAUGGUCAAUUUCGAGAGUAUGUGGCACAAAACCUACUUAGGUGGUGUGAUGUCGAGCAUGGUCAGUCAUAUGUAAUAUCACAGAGAAAUCAGCACAAGUUACAUUCACCCUAAAAAGAGGAUACUGUCCCCACGUCCAGUUGGAUGGAUGCAUAAUACCUUCUUCCGACUAUGCCAAAUAUCUGGGUGUCACUCUGGACAGGAGACUGACCUGGAAGUCUCACUUGAAAAACAAGAGGCUAUUGCUGAAUUUAAAACUCAAAAGCUACAUGUGGCUCAUAGGCAGAAGUCGACACUGCGGCUGCGCAUGAA
rfam:Drosophila willistoni strain TSC#14030-0811.24 scf2_1100000001327 genomic scaffold, whole genome shotgun sequence.